GACAGAGGAGCCAAGCGUUGUCCGGAUUGACUGGGCGUAAAGCGCACGCAGGCGGAACGGCGCGUGGGGUGUGAAAGCUGGCGGCUUAACUGCCAGUCGCCAUCCCAUACGGCCAUUCUGGAGCCUUGCAGAGGGCAGUGGAAUUGCCGGUGUAGUGGUGAAAUGCGUAGAGAUCGGCAGGAACACCCAAGGGGAAACCAGCUGCCUGGGCAAGCGCUGACGCUGAGGUGCGAGAGCGUGGGGAGCGAACCGG
rnacentral:rRNA from 1 species